rnacentral:rRNA from 1 species
AUUGAACGCUGGCGGCAUGCCUUACACAUGCAAGUCGAACGGUAACAGGUCUUCGGAUGCUGACGAGUGGCGAACGGGUGAGUAAUACAUCGGAACGUGCCCGAUCGUGGGGGAUAACGGAGCGAAAGCUUUGCUAAUACCGCAUACGAUCUACGGAUGAAAGCAGGGGACCGCAAGGCCUUGCGCGGACGGAGCGGCCGAUGGCAGAUUAGGUAGUUGGUGGGAUAAAAGCUUACCAAGCCGACGAUCUGUAGCUGGUCUGAGAGGACGACCAGCCACACUGGGACUGAGACACGGCCCAGACUCCUACGGGAGGCAGCAGUGGGGAAUUUUGGACAAUGGGCGAAAGCCUGAUCCAGCCAUGCCGCGUGCAGGAUGAAGGCCUUCGGGUUGUAAACUGCUUUUGUACGGAACGAAAAGACUCUCUCUAAUAAAGAGGGUCCAUGACGGUACCGUAAGAAUAAGCACCGGCUAACUACGUG